rnacentral:rRNA from 1 species
UACAGAGGGUGCAAGCGUUAAUCGGAAUUACUGGGCGUAAAGCGUGCGUAGACGGUCAUGUAAGUCGGGUGUGAAAGCCCCGGGCUCAACCUGGGAAUUGCAUUCGAGACUGCAUGGCUAGGGUGCGGAAGAGGGAAGCGGAAUUUCCGGUGUAGCGGUGAAAUGCGUAGAUAUCGGAAGGAACACCGGUGGCGAAGGCGGCGACCUGGUCCUUUACUGACGCUGAGGCGCGAAAGCGUGGGGAGCAAACAGG